UGAACUCUCUCUCACCCCUCCCCCCUCCCUGCUCUCGUCCCCCCCACUCUCUCCCUUUCAUGCCAGCUCUCUCUCACACCCCCUCUCUCUCUAUCCCUCCAUCCCCAGGCAGGGAACACAACUUCAACACUUACAAUGACACCACAUCGAGUUCUCUGGGCGUCCCCUACAACUACGGUUCCAUGAUGCACUACAGUAAGACAGCGUUAUGGCACAGAGCCCAAUAUCUUCACCAAGAGCCCUGCCUUCGCCGACGUCGUCGGACAGUGCAUGGAGUUCAUCGACAAUGACCUCGAUAAGGUCCGGAGCCUCUACGACUGCACACGUUCCACCACUUUCUUGGACACCUGUCUUUGAGAGGGAGAACAUCUGUGGUAUGGCCCGGAAGACCAGGCAGACCGGAGCACGGUGACCCAGGCCCCCAGCGGACCCACCACGGAGUAAUCCAACAUGGGCAAAUGCACCGAGACUUCAGAGCUGUUCUUCUGGGGAGACCCUUGUAAGGUGGGCAUUGAGGUGUCAGAGGCGGAUGGGACCAAAUAUUUCCGUGGGCCGGGCACCGGGACACCCGUGUACCAGGCCCAUGGCAGGGCCAAGAGCAGGGAUUUCAUCAAUGGGGGAGACACCAUCUUCAUGCUCACCAUGGAGGGUUGUGGUGGUCCCCCUAUUUACCAACACGUCCACAUCAUAUGAAGAUGUGUCCCAUCUGACGGUGAUCCAACCCGUCCCCUCCUCUACCGUGCCACCCGUCACCAUGGUUACCACCGCCAUGCCGCACUCUGACCCCUGCACUAACAUCACGUGUGGGAAUGAGGGAGUCUGUGUAUUGGAUGCUGGAAAGCUGUUUGCAGGGCGUUUUACUGUCGGGGCUUGUAGCUUACACAGUACAAUGGUCUGUACUGUAUUUAUUGUAAUGUAUUGUAUUUACAAACACACAAACAGCCCAGCAGGCAAAACUGGUUAAGAUGUUAUAAUGACGAGUUUGUGGUUAUAACGGCGUUAUUUCAACUAGUUUUGCCUGUGUAGUGACUCCCUCUUUCUCUCUCCACCCUCUAUAUUGGUGUGUCUUGUUAGAUCUCUCUUUCGCUCGAUGUGCAGUGGGUAGAUUGUUGACUCUCACUCAUUCUCUUCCUCUCUGUCCAGGUGUGCUGUGGGUGGAUUGUUCUUUCACUCAUCCUCUUCCACUCCCUAUCCAGAUGUGCAGUGGGUAGAUUGUUGACUCUCUCUCACUCGUUCUCUUCCUCUCUGUCCAGGUGUGCUGUGGGUGGAUUGUUCUUUCACUCAUCCUCUUCCACUCCCUAUCCAGAUGUGCAGUGGGUAGAUUGUUGACUCUCUCUCACUCGUUCUCUUCCUCUCUGUCCAGGUGUGCUGUGGGUGGAUUGUUCUUUCACUCAUCCUCUUCCACUCCCUAUCCAGAUGUGCAGUGGGUAGAUUGUUGACUCUCUCUCACUCGUUCUCUUCCUCUCUGUCCAGGUGUGCUGUGGGUGGAUUGUUCUUUCACUCAUCCUCUUCCACUCCCUAUCCAGAUGUGCAGUGGGUAGAUUGUUGACUCUCUCUCACUCAUUCUCUUCCUCUCUGUCCAGGUGUGCUGUGGGUGGAUUGUUCUUUCACUCAUCCUCUUCCACUCCCUAUCCAGAUGUGCAGUGGGUGGAUUGUUGACUCUCUCACUCGCUCUCUUCCUCUCUGUCCAGGUGUGCAGUGGGUGGAUUGUUGACUCUUUCACUCAUCCUCUUUCACUCCCUAUCCAGGUGUGCAGUUGGUGAUGACUGGUGGUACUAUGGAGAGACUUGUCAGUAUCCUGGCUUCACCCAGGACACAGUGACCACAGCGUUGAUAGCCUCUUUCUCUGUGCUGGGUGGCGUGUUGGUGGUGACCGUGUGUGUGUGUGUGUGAAGAGGAAUUACAAGAACAGUGGUGGUGGUGGAGACUGGGGCAUCACAAUGUUCAAUGUCAGCAUUACAGGGAUGUAGUGUGUUUUCUCCCUGCCAGCACCAAAAUGACCCAUGGCCAGCAUCAAGUAGAUGUAAUGAAGAUGGGUUAUAAAUACAUAUGCUAUGAAGUGUGCCUACAGUAUUGUUUACGGUAGAUGCUGCAUUACUGUUGCUGACAUGUCAUUUCCAUCAUACCAGGAUCUUAACAGUUUUAAAUGCAGAUUAUUUUUAAAAUAUGCAUAAUACCAUUUUUUUUCUUCUAUAGUUGCAGUCAUAGAAUAGAUGGUUUUAGCGGCAUAUCAUUACAGUGCUUCUAUGGUUAGUUUAAUAUUUUUUGUAAUGAGCUUAGUGAUCACUGUUUUACAGCCUGUGUUCGUAUUGGCUGCUGAGUGAAACAACCUGCCUUGAUUUGUCAGACGCUUGCUAAAAAACUUGAGCAAGCCUUCCUUCAUGAACUGGCCUCUAAAAUGGUAUAGAAUCAGCUUGAUCCCCUCUGUCGAAGACGCUUGGACCUUCUUUUUUGAUACUUUCAGUGGUAUUGUUAACAAACACGCCUCGUAAAGAAAAUUUGAAUUAAAAACAGGUUCAGCCCCUGGUUUGACCGUGGUCUUGCAGAGUUACUCCACCUCAAGAAUUGCAUUUGGCGAAAGGCUCGGCACACGCAUACUCAGGCUGACUGGCUCUCGUUCAGGCAAACGAUAAAUAAGUGCACUCAGGCUAUCCGGAAGGCCAAAGUUAGUUACUUAAAGGAGCAGUUCUCUCUGUGGGUCUAACCCCAAGAAGUUCUGGAGAAUGGUUAAAGACCUAUAAACCCUCCUCCUCACAGCUGCUCAUGUCCCUUAAUGUUGAUGAUGUGGUUGUUACUGACAAGGAGCACAUAACUGAGCUCUUUAAUCACCACUUCAUUAAGUCAGGAUUCCUAUUUGACUCAGCCAUGACUCCUUGCCCGUCCAACAUUUCCUCAUCUCCCACCCCUUCUAAUGCGACUAUCCCCGAUGUUUCUCCCUCUUAUUCCCCUGUCCCGCUACAAAGUUUCUCCCGGCAGUCACUGAGUCCGAGGUGCUAAAGGAUCUCCUUAAACUCCUUAGACCCUUUCUUCUUUAAGGUUGCUGCCCCUAUCAUCUCCAAGCCUAUCUCCAACCUUGUUAACCUGUCUCUCCUUUCUGGGGAGGUGCCCAUUGCUUGGAAGGCAGCCAUGGUUCGUCCUUUAAAUAAAGGGGGAGAUCAAGCUGAUUCUAACUGUUAUAGGCCUAUUUCUUCUUUGCUGACUGACGUUCUUGAUGUCUAUAGUAUUCUCUCUGGUAUGCAGUCUGGUUUCUGCUCAGGUUAUGGAUAUGUCACUGCAACCUUAAAGGUCCUCAAUGAUGUCACCAUUGCUCUUGAUUCUAAGCAAUAUUGUGCUGCCAUUUUUAUUGACUUGGCCAAGCUUUUGAUACGGUAGACCAUUCCAUUCUUGUGGACCGGCUAAGGAUUAUUGGUGUCUCUGAGGGGUCUUUGGCCUGGUUUGCUAACUACCUCUCUCAAAGAGUGCAGCGUAUAAAAUCAGAAGAUCUGCUGUCUCAGCAACUGACUGUCACCAAGGGAGUACCCCAAGGCUCGAUCCUAGGCCCCACUCUCUUCUCAAUUUACAUCAACAACAUAGCUCAGGCAGUAGG
ensembl:lncRNA